rnacentral:lncRNA from 1 species
UGGGAUCUCAAAGGACCCUGUGCAGCAGGCCACUAUUUGAAUGUGUGUUGCUCCUUGUGGCAGGUAUACUGUUCCAAUGCCCUGGGAUCUCUGUAGUGGUCGGUACUGUAUUGAUUAUAAAUGGUGAAGUCCUAGUAUCUUGCUAGAGUGAGCUGGCCAGGAUGGUGGAGCUCUACCACCAUUUCACAGGUUAUAGACAGGGGCCACCAGGUUUCAGGAAAGCAGCAAUGACCCCUCAGUAAUAGUUGGAAAGUGUGAUAUGACACUGAGCUUCACUGUGUUGGUGAAGAAGAGCUGCAGUUUGCCUCCACCUCUGAAGAAGCACAAUACACCUUUCUGGGUUACCAAUGGGAUACUUCCCAACAGCUUUGUCAUCACAUACAAUAUUCUCAAACAAGAUCUUAAUGGCAUCUACUUUCUCCAGGAACACAGCCCCUGACCUGUGUGUGUUUGCGUAGAGAAGGCAUGCUAUGUACCCCCUAGGAUAUCAAGAUUCCUGUAGCAGAUUGAGCUCUGGCAGUUGAUCUCAGUGGCUUGAUAGAGUGUCAUUAUAAAAACGCACCUGGAAGAUUCUGUGGAAAAGACAACCUCAGAAGACCAAGAGGCUGACUUUGCAAGAGAGAGUCCGUUUACCACUUAGAACCGUGAACACCACCCCCGCCCUCAUUUAUCUCCAGACUUGAACUAGUGGUUAAAUCCCAACAUGUCCCAGAGAAGUCAAAAGCAUUGUAAAAUCUGGGAAUCUGCCCACCACUCAAGCCUGGGAAAGCUGGCAGAGGAUGCACGUGUUUUACUCACCUGAGUGUUUACAAUGCUCGUGAGGUGCCUCCCUGAUAUUUCACUUGACUUGAAUGGACAAUUCCUAAUGCUGUUCAGCUACUGUCAGCAGUAAUGCCUUAAGGUAAUGAUAGCAUCUCACAGUUCAGUUUAAGGAAGCAAUACAGAGACAUGCAAAUCAUCCCUAAGACAUGAGUACUCCAUGUGAGGGUGUUGUGAGGGCCUAAGAAGAAAGACAAUCAUUUGGGACAACGUUCUGAGAAGGGAGAUGGUUGCUGCCCUCGUGGAUUUAACAGACUUGGUUAUGUGGCUAGUUUUCUUUUUCUUCUUCCAUACCUGAACUGUGGUACUCAAGAGAAUCAUCUGAAGCUUGUGUUGGACAGGACAGGCAAUAACUUCAAACUGAAUAAUGAGGCCCAAGAUGGACAGUCCCUCGUUGAGGGUCAGAGCCAGCACCCUUGUAGACUGUGACUACUAGGCCAACUCCUAGAGCUAGAGUUCCAUAUGGACAAGGACAAGCUCUAGCUAGAUCAGAGCAAUUUCAUCACAAAGCAAGUUUUAUUUUCAAUCAUCGCUGCAGACCACAAAGGUCAGGCUAAAUAUCGACAGAUCUCUAUUGUGGGAAAAUUUGGACUUUUGGCUUAUUAUCAGUACUCAACCUUGAUAGGCAGCACCAGAUUAACUGCUAAAGAUUCUAUGCAUCUUUAUCUCAUUAGCCUUUUACAUUUUAUCCUGUUUCUUAGCCUCGGCUGGGGGACGGGUACAGUCAACUCCCACUGGAGCAACAACAUAAAAGGUGGGAAGGAAAAUGUUUAUGUUGACACCAGGGUAGUGAAAGCUAUCCAAGCUAUGGGGAAUUUAAUGCUGAGGAAAGGCAAGAUCAGGGUGGAGCAUCCGGCUGGGGUAGCUGCCUUUCACUGGACCCCUACCAGCCCAGUUUGGGACAUGCAAGGGGAACAGCACAUAGAUAAAGCUUUCUCAAGGUUUAUGAAAGAACAGACGGCAGCACAGCUAACCUCCAGUGCAAAUAAAAAUCAUACAUUUAAGGAAA